rnacentral:rRNA from 1 species
GACGAACGCUGGCGGCGUGCUUAACACAUGCAAGUCGAACGGAAAGGCCCCCUUGUGGGGUACUCGAGUGGCGAACGGGUGAGUAACACGUGAGUAACCUACCCUUGACUUUGGGAUAACUUCAGGAAACUGGGGCUAAUACCGGAUAGGAGCUCCUGCUGCAUGGUGGGGGUUGGAACGUUUCGGCGGUUGGGGAUGGACUCGCGGCUUAUCAGCUUGUUGGUGGGGUAGUGGCUCACCAAGGCGUUGACGGGUAGCCGGCCUGAGAGGGUGACCGGCCACAUUGGGACUGAGAUACGGCCCAGACUCCUACGGGAGGCAGCAGUGGGGAAUAUUGCACAAUGGGCGGAAGCCUGAUGCAGCAACGCCGCGUGCGGGAUGACGGCCUUCGGGUUGUAAACCGCUUUCGCCUGUGACGAAGCGUGAGUGACGGUAAUGGGUAAAGAAGCACCGGCUAACUACGUG